CAGGGUUUGACAUCCUGCGACCGCUCCCUAAUAGGAGUUUUCCCGCAAGGGACGCAGAGACAGGUGCUGCAUGGCUGUCGUCAGCUCGUGUCGUGAGAUGUUGGGUUAAGUCCCGCAACGAGCGCAACCCUCGCCUUUAGUUGCCAUCAUUCAGUUGGGCACUCUAGAGGGACCGCCGGCGACAAGCCGGAGGAAGGUGGGGAUGACGUCAAGUCCUCAUGGCCCUUACACCCUGGGCUACACACGUGCUACAAUGGCGGUGACAGUGGGCAGCUACUUCGCGAGAAGCGGCUAAUCCCAAAAAACCGUCCCAGUUCAGAUUGCACUCUGCAACUCGAGUGCAUGAAGGUGGAAUCGCUAGUAAUCGCAGAACAGCAGGCUGCAGUGAAUACGUUCCC
rnacentral:rRNA from 1 species